UUUCCACAGCCCCGACCACUCCACACUAAUGGCCGGCAAGCUGUGAAAAGGAGGAAAAAGCAACCCUUAGGCUCAGGGGUGCGGCAGUGUGGAGACCUGUCGUAAUGCGGCGCGUCCCGAAGCGGGCGGCCGUGAGGGCGUUUCAUGCGAAGGCAGAACGCCCGGAGCUGCGCAACAUGGCA
rnacentral:ncRNA from 1 species